GGUAAUCAAAUCUACUAUUGUGUCAAACAGGUCACAGUGCUUCACCUGAGAACCUAUUGACCUAUAACCCAGACGUCUACGUGACUUCCUCUCACAUGUUCGUCUGUCUGUAUGUUAUGUAUGCUGAGGUCUAAAUAACCUCACAGUGCGGCCUCGUUAUACAAGGCUUAGCACAAGCAUUGGUGGCAGCUUACCGGGUAGACGCCAUCGGAAUACAACAUAGCUGGCUUCCCAGACUCGGACUAUUCCACAUCAUCUGAAGACUGACGAAAUGUAACAUAUCAGAAGUCAACGAAGGCGAGAGAAUCUUCAAGCAACUUCGAAUCUCUUAUGGCAACGUAAGAAACGUCUCUCAUUAAUAAUCAUUUGAGAGGGUGCAUCAUCAUUACUGAGCGUCUCCAGCACUUCAAGAAACAAACCGGAUGUGUCUGCAGCAUCGGAUCACCAUGAAUAAGGCAACGGGAAACGAAUCAUUCAACAAACAAACACCGCACGAGCAAUAUGCAAACUGAGAAUUCGGGUCACUGCGGGAAAGCAACAUCGGAAACCAAGGCCGUGACGUCACCUAAACAGCAAGAUCUUCCUCUUAUAUACCGAAGCUAAGUACAAUUCUUUAUUCAUUCUGGUGUGUGACUUUGAGUGUGAUCCUUACACAAGAUCGAUCGUCCAUUAUUCCCGGGGGUUUCCAACAUGAAGCUUAUAUUGUUCGGAUUGGUACUGUUUGUUCAAACAUUCUUGUCGUGUGGGAAGAGUGCUAAAACAAAAAAUAUACAUUUUACACAUGGCUCUAUAAUUGAAAGAACAGAGGACGUUUUCAUUACAGCAAGCAAUAUAGCUCUAGAAGUUGAUUUGUGAGUGAUUUUCUUGCCAGAAGAUGAUGUCAUUAACCUAAAAAGCAACUUGUCGAGGUUUGCCGAAUAAAUGAAUCAAGUACAUCAACGUCAUUUUCCUUUUAAUCCAGAGAUUUCGCUAGCACAAACUUUAAGUGUUGCAGAAAUGUUAUCAUUCGACUUGCAAAACAAAACUGCUGAAGCAGAAUGUUUGGCUCGUGAUCUGCUUAUGUGGACCGUGAGACACAGUAGCCUAGAAAGAUGUAACCCGUUUAUAUUUGUGGCGCUCAACGUCUUUGGGUCUGUUGCAAGUUUAGGUUUAGGAAUUUCAAAUCGCCUUAAGAUUAAUGAUCAGAAUAAGAGAAUUGAAUUUUUGCAACAUGAAAAUGAAUUAGUUUUUUCUGAACUUCGUAAACAAUUAUCAUCAAUUAAUCAACUUAUGACAUUGGUGAACGAACAUUCCAGUAAUAUCAAUCAGAUGAUGAAUGUGCAACACUUGCUGGCAACAUUAGCAUAUUACAGUUCUAAGGUAGACCAUAUCCGUACAAAAAUUUCACAUUUUAUUGAAAAAUCAAAAGACUAUGUGGAAGCUAUCACGCUAGCUACAAAGGGUGUUCUGUCGCCACGUCUUUUGCCUAUCAAAGAUUUAACAUUAACUUUAGAGAACGAACGAGAGAAACUUGGUUAUAUUAUAUGCCUUUUUUAGAUGCACAUAAGAUAGAAUUUUAUUACUAGCUUAAUAUCAGUAAGUAUUGAGAAUUACAGGAUCAUGAUUACCAUUCCUAUUAAUUCUUCUGAUGCCUGGCAAUCUUACAAACUUGCACCGUUUCCAACUUUCAUGACGAAUAACUCAUUACCAGUAAUAUCUAAUCUGACAGCACACGUAUUGAUUUCCCCUAAUAAGGAAACAUUUACGGUUAUCAGAGACCUGGAUAGGUUCACUCACUGUUCAGAUGCCAUGGGUAAUAAAGUUUGUACAGCUGACUCCUUUGAAUUUCACCAUAUAUCAGGUGAUUCAUGCGAGUUAGGUCUAGUGCUAAACAGCUCUCUCUCUCACACACGUGAACGAUGUCUGAAACAACUUUACCCUUUUGAUGAGUAUAAGUUCGCUUACAGGCUGAAUAACGGAUCGUGAAUCGUGAUACGAUACAACAGAGCAGGGUUUCACGUCGCUUGCCCGGACGGACCAACGGCCUCUUCGCGGAUGUUCAUCGCUGUGGACGGCUGCAGUGGAGUCACACCCAACUACACGGUCCGUGGAGUAAGCACCAUCAUAAGGGAACGAGUUUACUUUGUGAAUUUUUCUUGGUGGUUGAGUACCAUUAUCCCAGCUUUACCCCUUCCAUACAACGCGAAAGUGGGCCAUCAACUAUCCAAACUGUCUGGUAUGGACCGCACUUCAAGGGGUUACCCUGUCGACGAGGAUCUACGGUUCUAUACACUGCUGGCUGUAACAUGCGUGUUGGUGGUGGUUCUGGUCACCGCUAAUGUAUUUGCUUGGCGUAGGUUGAGGCAAACAAGAAUGGAUCAUCAACAGAACAUCGUACCCCGUCCUGACACUUACCCAUUAGCCCUUAAGGCAUUUGACUUUAGAGCCACUUGAAACUGGCCAUUUCAUUUGACUCAGGGGGAAGUUGUUUGGAAUUGUGUUUUGUGUGAAAAGCGGUUUGAACGCUGGCUAAAUGUGUAACAGGAACCUCCGUGACAUUGCAUUCCAUAUGUAAAGUAUGAGAAGCUUAAUUAUCAUUUAUCAUUCAAUAUAUCUGGUAGCGCACCUAAUAUAAUCAAUUGAAGUUCUACAAUGAAUCAAUAUGUCUGUGCGUGUACGCACCAGGAAUCUAUAUGAUGUGCACACUUAUCUGAAUCUAUUUUUAUAUUAAUCAGGUAGCAACUAUUCUUAAACAGUUACCAAUUAUCUUAUUUGAAUCAUUAUAUACAUGUAUAUGCUAAUCAGGUAGCACCUAUUCUUAAUCAGUUACCGUUUAUCUUAUCACAUUUUUGGUACCAUUUUAUUUCUUAACCAUAUAUGAUUUUUAGAAUGUAAUUCUUGUGUCAUGUAAUCAUCAGCUGUAUGUUAGUACUUUCUGUUGAAUAUAUAUUCUCAUGAGUAACAGUAUAUAACUAUCAUUAUGUAUGACAUGUUAUCUUUAAUAUUAGCAUGAUAUCAUAUGCAUUUAUCUUGUAUCUUCCAUGUAUUAUUCAUUACUUAUGAGUAUUUCUAUAUAUCUGGUUAUUUUUAUAUAAUCAGUUGCGUAUCAUUCCUUAACCACUUGUUGGUAACUAUGGGUUAACUAUAUAUUCCCAUUAAUUUCUCUAUCACACUCCUUUGAGUCAUAUGCAAGUCAAACUUUAAUGUUCAGUGUUUAGCUGACUGAGCAAUCAAUGUAAGGGUUACUUUUAGAAAUACAUAUUCCAUAUGUAUAAAUAAACUAAUGACCUAAGAGGUCACUGUUGAGAUAACAAGGAGUGUGAUAAGAGUUGAUAAACAGGACGCAAGCUAGGCUUGAUGUAUUGAAUCAGCAGCGCCCUGGUUUGCAUUUGCCUGUGGUAAUCAAAUCUACUAUUGUGUCAAACAGGUCACAGUGCUUCACCUGAGAACCUAUUGACCUAUAACCCAGACAUCUAUGUGACUUCCUCUCACAUGUUCGUCUGUCUGUAUGUUAUGUAUGCCGAGCUAAGCUGUGCUCUUGUAUACCUUUGUAAAUGCAUUGUAACUUAGAACUCUACUUUCCCUCCUAGAAUCAGGUUCUCCUAACCACCUUCUUGCCUUCUACUCAAGAGAUGUAGUUUUGCAAAUAUACCGUUGUUAAGUUAUCAUCAUGAGUUUGAAACAUCUCCGCCUUUAUACCCAAAGAAGAUACUGACUUGGAAAUUAUCGUCGCAAUCUCAGACGAGAAUGGGAAGUAUACCACACGAUAAUUGCGUAUAACAUCGCAGGUCUAAAUAACCUCACAGUGCGGCCUCGUUAUACAAGGCUUAGCACAUAUGAUAUUUCAUCA